CCCUCUCUCUCUCUCCUUCUUCUUCUUUCUUUUACUCCAUUAAUGACCAAAUCUUACACACACUCUUUCCUUCAUUAAACUUCAUAUUUUCUCUUAAAAAUCAAGUAUAUUAGAGGAUAAAUGACCUCAUAAGCUUUGAUUCAGAGUCUAUUUCUCAAGAUUCAAGCUUAAAAGUUACUGAUUUGGGAUAGACGAUCCACAGCGAGCAUCAGACUAUUUAGAGGCUCCUAUUCCAUUACAAAGCAUUUUGUAUGGGACGAGGCUAGUACAGCAAUGCUUAAAGUGGCUUGGGAGAAGCUGUGCGCUAAUCGAUAAUCUAACUUCACGUAUAGGAUGCAAAAGAGCGGAAAGAAGCAACAAUGCAUAUCUUAGGAGAUAUGGGAGAGAUGGCAGAAAGCUUGAGAAGAUCCUGCAUUUAAGAGAAAGUGUGAGAUCUACGUAUGGAAUAGACACAGUGAGAUUGGAGGUGACGGAACAGGUAUGUUUAAACACACUGGUGGAUCCAUAUCUGCUAUAGAGACAUGUAAGAUACUGGUGAGACAGAAGCACUUAU